AUACGGAGGGGGCUAGCGUUGUUCGGAAUUACUGGGCGUAAAGCGCGCGUAGGCGGAUUGGUUAGUUGGGGGUGAAAUCCCAGGGCUCAACCCUGGAACUGCCCUCAAUACUGCCAGUCUAGAGAUCGAGAGAGGUGAGUGGAAUUCCUAGUGUAGAGGUGAAAUUCGUAGAUAUUAGGAAGAACACCAGUGGCGAAGGCGGCUCACUGGCUCGAUACUGACGCUGAGGCGCGAAAGCGUGGGGAGCAAACAGGAUUAGAUACCCUAGUAGUCC
rnacentral:rRNA from 1 species